GGCGGACGGGUGAGUAACGCGUAAGGAACUUGCCUCUUGGACUGGGACAACUGUUGGAAACGACAGCUAAUACCGGAUAUUAUGAGAUUCUCGCAUGAGAAACUUAUGAAAGCUAUAUGCGCCAAGAGAGAGCCUUGCGUUCCAUUAGCUAGUUGGUGGGGUAACGGCCCACCAAGGCGACGAUGGAUAGCCGGCCUGAGAGGGUGAACGGCCACAAGGGGACUGAGACACGGCCCUUACUCCUACGGGAGGCAGCAGUGGGGAAUAUUGGACAAUGGGCCACAAGCCUGAUCCAGCAAUUCUGUGUGCACGAUGAAGGUCUUCGGAUUGUAAAGUGCUUUCAGUUGGGAAGAAGAAAGUGACGGUACCAACAGAAGAAGCGACGGCUAAAUACGUGCCAGCAGCCGCGGUAAUACGUAUGUCGCAAGCGUUAUCCGGAUUUAUUGGGCGUAAAGCGCGUCUAGGCGGAAAAAUAAGUCUGAUGUUAAAAUGCGGGGCUCAACUCCGUAUUGCGUUGGAAACUGUUUUUCUAGAGUACUGGAGAGGUGGGCGGA
rnacentral:rRNA from 1 species